GAGGUUAAGCGACUAAGCGUACACGGUGGAUGCCCUGGCAGUCAGAGGCGAUGAAGGACGUGCUAAUCUGCGAUAAGCGCCGGUAAGGUGAUAUGAACCGUUAUAACCGGCGAUUUCCGAAUGGGGAAACCCAGUGUGACUCGUCACACUAUCAUUAACUGAAUCCAUAGGUUAAUGAGGCGAACCGGGGGAACUGAAACAUCUAAGUACCCCGAGGAAAAGAAAUCAACCGAGAUUCCCCCAGUAGCGGCGAGCGAACGGGGAGGAGCCCAGAGCCUGAAUCAGCAUGUGUGUUAGUGGAAGCGUCUGGAAAGGCGCGCGAUACAGGGUGACAGCCCCGUACACAAAAGCGCAUGUGCUGUGAGCUCGAUGAGUAGGGCGGGACACGUGGUAUCCUGUCUGAAUAUGGGGGGACCAUCCUCCAAGGCUAAAUACUCCUGACUGACCGAUAGUGAACCAGUACCGUGAGGGAAAGGCGAAAAGAACCCCGGCGAGGGGAGUGAAAAAGAACCUGAAACCGUGUACGUACAAGCAGUGGGAGCACCCUUUGGGGUGUGACUGCGUACCUUUUGUAUAAUGGGUCAGCGACUUAUAUUCUGUAGCAAGGUUAACCGAAUAGGGGAGCCGGAGGGAAACCGAGUCUUAAUUGGGCGUUAAGUUGCAGGGUAUAGACCCGAAACCCGGUGAUCUAGCCAUGGGCAGGUUGAAGGUUGGGUAACACUAACUGGAGGACCGAACCGACUAAUGUUGAAAAAUUAGCGGAUGACCUGUGGCUGGGGGUGAAAGGCCAAUCAAACCGGGAGAUAGCUGGUUCUCCCCGAAAGCUAUUUAGGUAGCGCCUCGUGAAUUCAUCUCCGGGGGUAGAGCACUGUUUCGGCUAGGGGGCCAUCCCGGCUUACCAACCCGAUGCAAACUGCGAAUACCGGAGAAUGUUAUCACGGGAGACACACGGCGGGUGCUAACGUCCGUCGUGAAGAGGGAAACAACCCAGACCGCCAGCUAAGGUCCCAAAGUCAUGGUUAAGUGGGAAACGAUGUGGGAAGGCCCAGACAGCCAGGAUGUUGGCUUAGAAGCAGCCAUCAUUUAAAGAAAGCGUAAUAGCUCACUGGUCGAGUCGGCCUGCGCGGAAGAUGUAACGGGGCUAAACCAUGCACCGAAGCUGCGGCAGCGACGCUGAUGCGUUGUUGGGUAGGGGAGCGUUCUGUAAGCCUGUGAAGGUGGCCUGUGAGGGUUGCUGGAGGUAUCAGAAGUGCGAAUGCUGACAUAAGUAACGAUAAAGCGGGUGAAAAGCCCGCUCGCCGGAAGACCAAGGGUUCCUGUCCAACGUUAAUCGGGGCAGGGUGAGUCGACCCCUAAGGCGAGGCCGAAAGGCGUAGUCGAUGGGAAACGGGUUAAUAUUCCCGUACUUGGUGUUACUGCGAAGGGGGGACGGAGAAGGCUAUGUUGGCCGGGCGACGGUUGUCCCGGUUUAAGCGUGUAGGUGUGUGUUCCAGGUAAAUCCGGUUCACUUUAACACUGAGGCGUGAUGACGAGGCACUACGGUGCUGAAGCAACAAAUGCCCUGCUUCCAGGAAAAGCCUCUAAGCAUCAGGUAACAUCAAAUCGUACCCCAAACCGACACAGGUGGUCAGGUAGAGAAUACCAAGGCGCUUGAGAGAACUCGGGUGAAGGAACUAGGCAAAAUGGUGCCGUAACUUCGGGAGAAGGCACGCUGACACGUAGGUGAAGUGAUUUACUCAUGGAGCUGAAGUCAGUCGAAGAUACCAGCUGGCUGCAACUGUUUAUUAAAAACACAGCACUGUGCAAACACGAAAGUGGACGUAUACGGUGUGACGCCUGCCCGGUGCCGGAAGGUUAAUUGAUGGGGUCAGCGCAAGCGAAGCUCCUGAUCGAAGCCCCGGUAAACGGCGGCCGUAACUAUAACGGUCCUAAGGUAGCGAAAUUCCUUGUCGGGUAAGUUCCGACCUGCACGAAUGGCGUAAUGAUGGCCAGGCUGUCUCCACCCGAGACUCAGUGAAAUUGAACUCGCUGUGAAGAUGCAGUGUACCCGCGGCAAGACGGAAAGACCCCGUGAACCUUUACUAUAGCUUGACACUGAACAUUGAGCCUUGAUGUGUAGGAUAGGUGGGAGGCUUUGAAGUGUGGACGCCAGUCUGCAUGGAGCCG
rnacentral:rRNA from 2 species